CAGUGGAUACAUCAUCCUCAGAAGGAAUUACAAGAUCAACGUCUUCUUGAAAACCAAUGGCACCCAAACUCUCAGGGAGACUGGAUAUUUUCUGAGGUAAGGACGCAAUAGUUCUAAAACCAGGUGUCUCGAGAUCAUUUGACUGAGCUUUAGCAUCAAGAGGUGACAUUAAAACCAGUUCUAUACUAUUUUCAUUCAUAGCAGAUUCUUCGGCGACAGGUAUCACUUGCUCUUUUUUAAGAGGAAAUUCAGAAGUAGGUGUUUCUAAUUGCCUGCAAAUCUCUUUAUUGACCAUUUCUGAAACAGCAAGAGCAUUUUUAGUUUCAAGAGAAGAAACAGUUAUUGCGUCGGAUUUGUUUUUCAUGGGAAUAUCAGAAUCUCCAUUUUCAUCUGCCAAUGAUUUUUCAACAAUAUCAGCUGCAACAAGAAUAUUUUUAACCUCGACAUUAUCGCUGUGUUUUCCUUUCUUUUUCUUCUUACGACGUUUACUUCUGUCAUUAUUGGCUAAAGGAGCAGUGGAUACAUCAUCCUCAGAAGGAAUUACAAGAUCAACGUCUUCUUGAAAAUCAAUGGUACCCAAACUCUCAGGGAGACUGGAUAUUUUCUGAGGUAAGGACGCAAUAGUUCUAAAACCAGGUGUCUCGAGAUCAUUUGACUGAGCUUUAGCAUCAAGAGGUGACGUCAAAACCAGUUCUAUACUAUUUUCAUUCAUAGCAGAUUCUUCGGCGACAGGUAUCACUUGCUCUUUUUCAAGAGGAAAUUCAGAAGUAGGUGUUUCUAAUAGCCUGCAAAUCUCUUUAUUGACCUUUUCUGAAACAGCAAGAGCAUUUUUAGUUUCAAGAGAAAAAACAGUUAUUGUGUCGGAUUUGUUUUUCAUGGGAAUAUCAGAAUCUCCAUUUUCAUCUGCCAAUGAUUUUUCAACAUUAUCAGCUGCAACAAGAAUAUUUUUAACCUCGACAUUAUCGCUGUGUUUUCCUUUCUUUUUCUUCUUACGACGUUUACUUCUGUCAUUAUUGACUAAAGGAGCGGUGGAUACAUCAUCCUCAGAAGGAAUUACAAGAUCAACGUCUUCUUGAAAACCAAUGGUACCCAAACUCUCAGGGAGACUGGAUAUUUUCUGAGGUAAGGACGCAAUAGUUCUAAAACCAGGUGUCUCGAGAUCAUUUGACUGAGCUUUAGCAUCAAGAGGUGACGUCAAAACCAGUUUUAUACUAUUUUCAUUCAUAGCAGAUUCUUCGGCGACAGGUAUCACUUGCUCUUUCUCAAGAGGAAAUUCAGAAGUAGGUGUUUCUAAUUGCCUGCAAAUCUCUUUAUUGACCUUUUCUGAAAUAGCAAGAGCAUUUUUAGUUUCAAGAGAAGAAACAGUUAUUGUGUCGGAUUUGUUUUUAAUGGGAAUAUCAGAAUCUCCAUUUUCAUCUGCCAAUGAUUUUUCAACAUUAUCAGCUGCAACAAGAAUAUUUUUAACCUCGACAUUAUCGCUGUGUUUUCCUUUCUUUUUCUUCUUACGACGUUUACUUCUGUCAUUAUUGACUAAAGGAGCGGUGGAUACAUCAUCCUCAGAAGGAAUUACAAGAUCAACGUCUUCUUGAAAACCAAUGGCACCCAAAUUCUCAGGGAGACUGGAUAUUUUCUGAGGUAAGGACGCAAUAGUUCUAAAACCAGGUGUCUCGAGAUCAUUUGACUGAGCUUUAGCAUCAAGAGGUGACGUCAAAACCAGUUCCUUACUAUUUUCAUUCAUAGCAGAUUCUUCGGCGAAAGAUAUCACUUGCUCUUUUUCAAGAGGAAAUUCAGAAGUGGGUGUUUCUAAUUGCCUGCAAAUCUCUUUAUUGACCUUUUCUGAAACAGCAAG
rnacentral:lncRNA from 1 species